rnacentral:lncRNA from 1 species
GACUAAUGAUCAUAGACUCACUCUCAUGAAAAUAUAAAAUUAUAGAAUUUGAGUAAAUAACAACAAUACUCCUUAAAACUUUCAGCGAAACGUUUUAUCGAUUCUUUUACUAUGUUAGUCUUCGUACUUCCAACUUUGUAAUGAAAUUGUAAUUUUGUCAAUAAUUUCGUUAAAUUCACUCAUAAACAUUAAUUGGCAACAUCUGUUUUGCCACGUGGUAAACACGUGUAAGUUUAGAUAUAAAAAAACUUGAGGAUUUGAAUUUUUAUUUUUUUCUUAUUUUUUUCUCUCUUAUCUUCCUUCUUUCCCCACCAACCGAUCAAGGGCCUGCAGCAAAGGCAGAAGACUAAAUCUGGCCCGGCCAACAUCUAGAUAGCGGUUGGAUCCAAAUCGAUCCUGAACCCGUUGACCUGACGAGGAAGAAGAAAGAUUGUCAGAUCGGCAAUAACAAGGGCUAAUCUUGCUCUAGCCGCCACCUCGACAUCGAAUAUGGCAGAUCCGACCCUUUAUCACUGUCGGUAGGCCCAAAUCGAUGAGGAAGAGAAGACAGAAGAAUAUGGAGAAAAUAAAAUAAUAGAAAAUUUUUAAUACAUAUUUAUCAAAUAUUGUAAUUGAAAAUAAAUAAAUUUCAAAAUUUUCUAUUUUAAUGAGUUUUUAUUUUUUAAACAUAAUACAAAUGUUUAAUAUAUUUGAUCAAAUAUAAAAUAAAUAAUUUUUAUAUUUUUAUAAGUUUUUAUUUUUAUUUUUCAAAUAUGAUAUAGAAUUUAAUAUAUUUUUUCAAAUAUGAAAAUUUAAAAUAAAUAAAUUUCAAAAAUUUCUACUUUUUAAUUAGUUUUGUUAUUUUUCAAAUAUAACAUAGAUUUUUAAUAUAUUUUAUCAAAUAUUAUAAUUUAAAAUAAAUAAAUUUUAUUAUUUUCUAUUUUUGAUAAGUUUCUUUAAUUUUUUAAAUACAAUAUUUAUUUUUAAUAUAAUUUAAAAUUAAUUAUUUUAAAAAUUCUACAUCAUCCAAUCCGUAUGUUACUUAAUGCUACAUGUGCACCAUACAACAUCAAUUGGCAUUUAAUGUAUGAGUUUAGAAAAAUAAUAAAGAGGCGUCUCAUUCACAAAAUUAAAAAUUUUUGUAAGGAAAAUGAUAUUAAGAAAAAUGUCGAUUCCAAAGAAUAAGUGAUUUUUCUUAUCAUGAAAAAAUAAAAAGAUAAUAAAAGCCACACAAGGACAAUGUUUAUUAAGUAAAAAAUUACCUAAUAAUUGGACAAAUAUGAUAUUUUGAUCAUUAUAAAUGCAGUAUUUGAAUGUUUCUUAAACCAAUUAA